AGAGUUGAUCCUGGCUAGGACGAACGCUGGCGGCGUGCUUAACACAUGCAAGUCGAACGAGGAUAUACCAGAGGAGAGCUUCGGCAGGAAUCGGGAAUAUUCGAGUGGCGGACGGGUGAGUAACGCGUGAGCAACCUGUCCCAGACAGGGGGAUAACACUUGGAAACAGGUGCUAAUACCGCAUAAGACCACGGUAUCACAUGGUAGUGGGGUAAAAGGAGCAAUCCGGUUUGGGGUGGGCUCGCGUCCGAUUAGAUAGUUGGUGAGGUAACGGCCCACCAAGUCGACGAUCGGUAGCCGACCUGAGAGGGUGAUCGGCCACAUUGGAACUGAGAGACGGUCCAAACUCCUACGGGAGGCAGCAGUGGGGAAUAUUGGGCAAUGGGCGAAAGCCCUGACCCAGCAACGCCGCGUGAGUGAAGAAGGCCUUCGGGUUGUAAAGCUCUGUUAUAGUUGACGAAGGAAGUGACGGUAGGCUAUAAGGAAGCCCCGGCUAACUACGUGCCAGCCGCCGC
rnacentral:rRNA from 1 species